AGUAUAUUGAACCCAUCAGAGGUUACGCUAAAAAACGAACGAGAGAGGGGAUUUCCCAAAAAUUCCCGAAGAAAAAUGUCUAAUGUCAUCACUAUACAUUGAGCCCAAUUUAAAUUUGCCCGGGUACAAGAAGAUAUAACGUGCUAUUGUCUGAAAAAGGAGAAUUUAUACGAGCAAGAAAAACUAAAUAAUGUUCUAAGUAUAAAAGUCUCAUUCGAAAUACUUGAACAAACGGACAGACAAGAGACGUUAAAAAAGCUGUUUAAUAAUGAGA